rnacentral:rRNA from 1 species
UACAGAGGUCCCAAGCGUUGUUCGGAUUCAUUGGGCGUAAAGGGUGCGUAGGCGGCGCGGUAAGUCGGGUGUGAAAUCUCGGAGCUUAACUCCGAAACUGCAUUCGAUACUGCCGUGCUUGAGGACUGGAGAGGAGACUGGAAUUUACGGUGUAGCGGUGAAAUGCGCAGAUAUCAGGAGGAACACCGAUGGCGAAGGCAGCUCGCUGGGACGUGACUGACGCUGAGACGCGAAAGCGUGGGGAGCAAACAGG